AUUGAACGCUGGCGGCAGGCCUAACACAUGCAAGUCGAGCGGAUGAAGGGAGCUUGCUCCUGGAUUCAGCGGCGGACGGGUGAGUAAUGCCUAGGAAUCUGCCUGGUAGUGGGGGAUAACGUCCGGAAACGGGCGCUAAUACCGCAUACGUCCUGAGGGAGAAAGUGGGGGAUCUUCGGACCUCACGCUAUCAGAUGAGCCUAGGUCGGAUUAGCUAGUUGGUGGGGUAAAGGCCUACCAAGGCGACGAUCCGUAACUGGUCUGAGAGGAUGAUCAGUCACACUGGAACUGAGACACGGUCCAGACUCCUACGGGAGGCAGCAGUGGGGAAUAUUGGACAAUGGGCGAAAGCCUGAUCCAGCCAUGCCGCGUGUGUGAAGAAGGUCUUCGGAUUGUAAAGCACUUUAAGUUGGGAGGAAGGGCAGUAAGUUAAGACCUUGCUGUUUUGACGUUACCAACAGAAAAGCACCGGCUAACUUCGUG
rnacentral:rRNA from 1 species